AGUGAAUGAAAUUUUGAUUUUUAGGGAUUUUUUUUUAAUGAAAAAGAGAAGUGGAAAGUUUUGGUGUGAGGGAGAGAUAAUAUGGUGGGGGGAUUUAGGUUUAAUUGCGACAAUUUUGGAAAUUAACGAGGGGGAAAUUGACUUUGAAAAUCGGAAAUUCUUGAAUUUGAAUUUUUCAGUCAUUUUUGUAAUUAAAUUUUGAUGAUUUUUGGGGAUUUUUUGAAGUGAAAAUUUAAUUGUGAGACAAUUUUGGAAAUUAACGAGGCAAAAUUGAUUUCCACAUUCGGGAACUCUCGGUUUCGAUUUUUUCAUUCCAUUUGUAAUCUUUUUUUGUAUUAAAUUGGUCCUUUUUUUAAAUAAUUAAAGAGAAAAGUGAAGUAUUUCACGUGCAAUCGAUUCUAAAAAUAAAAAUUAAAAAUCCGAUAGUUCCCGAGAUAAUUCCUUAAUUAUUUAUAAUUGUGACUCUAAAAAUGACCGCGAGAGACGUCAUUAUAAUCCAUAAACAAUGAGGAGACGUAAAAAUAAUUACAAGAAACAGCAAAUUAAAAAAACAUUGAAAAAUUAAAGAAGAAAAGUUCGUUGCUCCGCCAUAUUUUUAGAUCUUAUCGUAAAAUAUUUCUUGUAAUUUAUUUUUGGCGAGUGAACAUUCCAACUCGAAAUCAGAGGCACUCACACCACUUGACCAACACAAAACAGUGGGAAUGUUUGUGGUUUUUUUUUUGCAAUGGUUGAAGGAAGUAGUGAAACGUUUUGGUGCGUGCGGUCGACGCCAGAUAACUUUAGAUCUCUAAACCACCACGAUAUAAUAAACAAUUCUCUGAUUUUCCCCUUAACCAUUAAAUAAAAACAACAAUUAAUGUGUAUUAAAAUCGCAUAAAUAAUAUCGCGCAAAAAUUUAAUUUCAAUUUUUCAAAAAUUCCAAAAUCAAACUCCCAUUUCGUGACAGAAAAUUCCGAAAUUUUAUAUAAAUAAAAUAUAAAUAAAUAAAAUUUAAUUAUGAUACACUAAUAAUCCCACAUCAAAGUAACUAUUUAAUCCAUAAAAUUAUUCAAAUAAACAAUUAAAUAUUUUCUGUAUCUAAUUCACCACAAAAUAUCGCAAUAAAAUUAAAAAAUUCCCAAUUAUUACUCAUUAUCAUUCCCUAAAAAUCACUCCCCUCAAUCUAAUUAUACAUAAACAAUAUAACAAAACAACAAAUCAUCAGAUUAAAUUUUUAACUCCAAAAAUAUCCCCCGAUAAAUCGUUUCACCGCACGAUUUUCAACGACAGAAUCGCGACUCGAAAUCGAGAGCCUCUCACCAAUCGCUAAUUUCUUUCAUCGAGUCUUAACAUGUGUUGAAUUAAUGCAGCUGUGCGUGAUAUUCCACAUUGUAUUGGCGAUACCAUGAAAUAAGACACGAGACUUAAUGCUGUUGUUACAAUUCUCAAACGAUUCGUUUCAUUCCAUCGAAUAAAUUGUUUUAUCCAGUGGUUAUCCAUUUCUUUCUCUCGCGUUGCAUCGAAUCUUUGGAAUAUUCUCGAUUAUGAUAAUUAUAUCGAUAGCUGCGUAGAUGAAAAAUAGAUAAAAGAGCGACUAUUUGCGAGGGGGAAGAGGGGGGGGGGAGGUUAGAAAUCGGUGGAAAUAACGGUUUGAAAAUUAUUCAGGACACGAUAGGAUUUUUAAUUAUUUCAAGGCCAUUCUUUUUGGAUUGAUGAAAGAGUUUAUUUAUCUUCGCUAAAUGAAGUGAGUUGAAGUCUAUUUAUUCGCAUCAUAUGACCAUUUGCCGGAGGUUAUUAAGUCCUGGUGAUGAUAAAUAAAUAGUUUCCAUCAGGAAAAUGUUGAAAAAAAAAAUUGUUCGGUUGAUUAUUUUAAAAAAAAUAUGUUUUUCGAAGUGAUAAAUGCGUUUACGGAAUGUCCGGGGUUGGGAUGAUAUAUUUAUAUGUUUUCUAAAUAUAUAAAAAAUAUAUAAACCGUAUAAAUAAUUUUUUUUUAUAUAUUUGGUUCAUAUAAAUAAAAAUGGAAUUGAAAAUGAUUUUUAAAAUGUUUUUUUGCUCUUCUGACUGAGGGAUUUCGAAGGAAAUUUAUUGAAUUGUUGCUGAUAUUAUUGGGACGUCUUAUCAAGUGAUUAUUACUCUAAUUAUUGCCCGUCGGGUCUAAUUAAUUUUACUAUUUGAAUUUUAGAAAAUGAGAGAACUAGAAAUUAUUAAAAUUCUUGUUUCCUGAGUCUCGAAAUUUUCUAUCACACGAUAAAAUAAAUAAAUAUUCGUCUGCGCUAAUGAAUAACUUCGAACUCGAUUUCAUUAAUUACAUUCGGUGACGUUAACCAACAAUUAAUCAUCGACAUUCCAUUACUGAUUCAAAACGUGAUUUUAGUGAAUGCUGUCAUUAUUUUUGUCGACAGAUUCCUUAUCGUUUUUAGAUUCGAGUGACGUUUACACGUCGAUAAACAUUUAUUAGUUCCGGUUCAAUAUUAAAUGAAAACGAACUAAAAUUAUCCAUUUUCCUGUCUCAAGGGGAAAAGGAACCGCGGUGGUAAGACGUUUUACGAUUGUUUUCUCCCAUAAUUUUCCAAUUUUUAUCUGUUGAACUACUUUCGCGAUUCGAUUAUUUAAUUGUUGGAUCAACGAAGGGGUUCCAUAAAUAACUAUUAACUACUGGGACAGGAAAAAAAAAUUUCUAAUUCAUAUUAAUGAUAAUUAACCAGAGAAUGAAAAGGUCGAGAUAUUCUCACACGAAAAUGUUUAUUAAUUUGCAAAUUCAAGAGACUUCAGUUCAUUUAAUUGAAGUCCACAGAAUAUUUACUGAUUCAUUCGAUAUUUGUUCAUUAAAUUCCACCAGUUAAAUUUGCAUAAAAUAAACAAGUGUGUAUUUGCAAAAAUUCUCGACUCCUCGCUCUCUCCAAACUUUCUAUCACAUGGGAAAAACAACAAUUCAUUCAUUUAUAUAAAUCGAACGAACUCUCCAAACGUCGAGGCUUUAAUUACAUUCAGUGUACGUUGAAAUAGCAAUUUAUGAUUUUGAUUGUUUAUAUUUCCAAUUUUUUAUAAUUAUUUAGAGCCAUUCAAUUGAUUCAAGACUUCGUAAACAAUUUAGUUUCAAAAUUAUGAGGAAAUGAGUGACUUUUCCUAUUUUUUUUACCCAAAUAAUUAUUAAUUUUCAAGUUCUCAAUCAUUUUAUCAACUUAAUAAUCACAAGGGAACGACAGACUUCGAAAAUAAUUAAUUAAUCAUGUUAAUGAGACGUGGGAAUUACGAAAAUUCACGUGUUUAUCGUUCAACUAUUUCUCUCUUCGAUAAAAGGGGAGUGAUAAUUAAUUAAAAAAUAUAAUCAACUUAGUUGUUAUGGUAAAAAUUAUUGUUCCCCUUCCUCGCACCAGAAAGUGCAUAAAUAAAUGAAAAUUCGCGGAAUUUCCUGUGCGAUAAUUCUUAUUAAUUAUUAAAUAAAUCCUGAUCUGUCUAUUUCAUGUAAAUUUCACUAAUCAAAUGCAUAUUAAUUGAAACAAUUAUAUUUUCCUGGUGUUCUCACUCCCUCAAAAUUGUCUAUCACACGGUAAAACGAACAAUUCAUUGAUUGUAUGAGUCAAACUCAGCACACGUGCACUAUUAAUUACAUUCGAUGACGCAGGAGUAUCAAUUCAUCAUCGACAUUCCAUUCUCGAUCGAAACAGGAUUUUAGUAAAUUAUCAAGUGCCACAAAUACCGAAAAUUAAUAUAUUUACGAGUGAAAUUCUCAGAUUAUUUUGUCUGGUAAAUUGUUUACUGUUUGGAUUUAUUGUUUGAACAUGCGUCGAUCGGACAAUUCAAAAUCAAUCGACUUUAUUGUCGAGUCAGGUAUGUUCCAUUCAAUAGCAAUUCAGUUCGAUAUAAUACGCAUUUGGGUACGCGAUGUGCGCAGCUCUCAUUCCCCAGAAGAUAUUCGAGUACUUCAGAUAUUUUUAUUUCGUUGAAAAACUGGAUUUUCAGUUAUUUUUUACCGGUUCUCGUGGAAUAUUUUCUCGUGGAAUAUUUCCUACGGUUUCGAAGGUCAAUUAAAUCCCCCAUUUUCAAUAUUCUGAUUAAUUUUAAUAAUAAAAAAAACGUAUUAGAAUUUUUAUUUCUUAAAAAAACUUCAGAAGACGAUCGAAGAAUUGUAAUUUUUAAUUUUAUUUGAGUUGAUUUCUGUUAUUUUUUAAUUAUAAAACCGUUAAAAAAUUAUUUCAAGUGAAUAAUUUAUCGUAUAUUUUGUCGAAUGCUCUGAUGGACAAGAAAAUUUGAAUUGACACUCGAGCCAAGCGGUUUUAACCGGAAAUAAAUAAAAACGAAGUGAUAAGGGCGACAACCGGUGAUAUAGCGUUAGUGUUUGUCAUAGAAAAAAAACGUGCGUCAAUUUUUUUUCAUAAAAUUCUAUUCGGGUGAACGGAUGACUCGAGGUCACGGGCCUCAUCCCGGUAGCUCGGACAAUUGACACCAACGAGAGGAAUAAUAGUUUUACAGAAGGGAAGAACCCACACGAAUGAAGGUCUUCAUGUAAUAAUUCACGUAAUAAUUAUUGUCCGAGUGAAUCGAUUUCCUCAAAUCACAUCUCAUCUUAAAGCCAAUGCAAAUACCUACAAAAUGGCGUCAAAAACGUUUGAAUUCCCUCAGCCAAUCCAGAGAUAAUCGAAGGUUUCACGGUUCACCCAUUUCCCAAAGAAGAGCUUUAAAAAAAAAAGUCCAUAAGCUAUAACAACUAACUCACGACGAGUGCAACCUGUGGCCCCAUCUCCAAAUGGAACGAAUCGUUUGGUGGCAAAUGAUCCGGUUCGAGAAUAGCCCCUUCCCCCCCCCCUUUUUCCCACCCCAACGACAGUGGGUUUAUUUUCGCCUGUUUAUUCUCCUGGGAUAAAAGAAUUCCAAUAAUUGAAGGAAAAAGGAAAAGUGUCUCUCGAUGUCGAGAGUUCGACGAAUUGAGACUGAGCCACUGGCAAAAUAUUUCAAAUCAAUCGCCUGGGGACAAAUAUUAUUCCACAUUUCCAAGGAAAAUAUUGCUUUUGCAAUCGAGAUGCAGUAGAAUAUGUCAUCGAGGGUCAUCCAAACAUCUGGGGAGAUAAUUAAACCGAUAAUUAAUUAAUUAUUUGCAGUUAAAAAAUUUUUAAAUUAUUUUGCACGAGAAUAUCUUCUAAAAAAUUUGAUAUCAAAGCAAUUUUCACUAAUAUUUUGUUCAAAAUUGUUAUUCUAAAUAUAGAAUAUGUUAAUUGUUAAACUAGUUAAUGAAUUCCCCGCGGAAAAUCACUUUAAAAGUGAAUUUUAUCCGGUUUUUCAAAUAUUUUUAACGUUUCAAGAUCGAAAUUUAAAUUCUGAACUUUAAAAUUGAAAUGAAAAUUCCAAAAAUUGAUCUUAAUGACAGAAAAGUGAUUAAGUGGAGUUCUUGGAUAUCCUAGAGGAUAAAUUCUUCGAGGAAAUGAUUUCGAUAGCGUCAUAUCACUUCGUGGAAACGUCUGGAAAUAUCCUCUCCCCUCUCCUCUUUAAAAUAAGAAAAAAUUCACUCGAAUAAAGGAAAACAAUAAAUUGCAACUGCAGUACCUGCAUUCCAUCGAAAUGAAUUCCCUUAUGAAUUCCCGUAAUUCUUAGGAUUUAAAAAUACCGAGAGAGCAUCGACUUGAGGGAGAGAUUUUCCCCAAAAUAGACAGCGAAUGCUGAGCAUUCAGGGUUACAGUACAUAUGUAUGAGGAUCAUAUAUUUACCGAGAAAAUAUAUGACCCAUGAGACCCACCAUUGCACUUUCCCCCACCCCAUUCACCUCCUAAUGCAUUUCUAUUCCCAGUUUCCCCUCCCGCCGGAGACCCCCCUCUUCAAUAAUUAAUAUCUCCCAAUCGGCAGAGUGAAAUGUUUAAACUUUUUUUCCAUUUUCAAGACAUUUUUUCACCCUUCAAAACGCGCCCUGACUCGUCCAAAUCGCAUCGUUGGUUCCCAAGAUAUUAACGAUUAAAAAAACCCCAAUUCGUUCCCCCCCGCGGUCCUUUAAAUAUCGAUAAUUAUUCGGCUGAUCAAUUUUAAAAAAUAAUUAAAACCGGGAAAAUUUAUUUGAAUCCCAUGUGCACAACCCGAGACUUUGAACUUUGAUGCAGUAAGUUAACUAGCCUUGAACUUCCCCCCCCCUCGGGACACUCCCCCUCACUGUCGACUCAUUUCGCCGCGUCCCACUGUUUUUCCCCCCAAUUUCUUCAUUAAUAAAAUCAUUAGCAGUCAGAAUUACUUAAGAGAUGUAAAAAAAAAAGCCGCUGAAGCCCACACUUUUGCCCGUCUCCUCGAUAACACUAAUAGUUUAAAAAAAAAAAAAAUAAUGUAAUGAGGUCACCGUUUAAUCUCCCUGCCCCGUGAACGUACCAAUCACGCUACAUCACAUCUCACAGUGAAACCCGGGAUAUUUAAUUUGAGUUCAUGUAAAAACCAAAAGCUCUUGGAGCUCAACCAAUCUUGGAGAAUGGCCUCCGGGUGAAUUUCAUUGUUCAAUUUCCUCGGAUGAGUUUAACACAACGUAUUUACAAAGAAUGAAUAAUUAUCUAAUUAAGAAUAAUGCUGAAGAAAUAUUUUCAAAAGCACAAAAUAUUCCCUUCGAUUUUAAAUAAAAAAAAGCACCGGAAGUUGUAAAUUUUUGGCAAAAAAAUUGUUUUUUGGGCGUCAGAAAAAUGAUUUUAGAAUUUUAUUUAUAUUAUUUACGAAUAUUAUUAAUUAAUUAGUAGUUAUAAUUUUUUUUAUCAAUCAAAGACUGCUGUUAUCGAUUAUCGAUUAUAUUCGACUCACUUCGAGUAUUUAAAAUCAACAAAAUGUUUAAAAAAAUUAUUAUCCGAAAAAUUUAACUAACAAAUCAUCGAAUUGCUUUCAAAAUUAAUUAAUUACACUUCAUUGUCGUUAAUAAUCGACACUGGAGGGUGUAAACUACCUAAAUUCACCCUUAAAAGGGACUUGGAGCGUCGCAAAAAUUCGGGGAGGUCCCCCCGAGGGUUGAAAACCCCCAAAAAAAUUCCCAAAACCGAUCCUAAUUAAGGGGCAUUAACUAAACGUCUUUUGCAUCCCCAAAAAAAAUUAAUAAAUUCGACUCACAUUUAUCUCCACAUCUCUCAGCAUCUCCAAUG